rnacentral:rRNA from 1 species
ACAUGCUAAAAAUCCCGACUUCGGAAGGGUUGUAUUUAUUAGAUUAAAAACCAAUGCCCCUCGGGGCUCUCUGGUGAAUCAUGAUAACUAGUCGAAUCGACAGGCCUUGUGCCGGCGAUGGCUCAUUCAAAUUUCUUCCCUAUCAACUUUCGAUGUUUGGGUAUUGGCCAAACAUGGUGGCAACGGGUAACGGAGGGUUAGGGCUCGACCCCGGAGAAGGAGCCUGAGAAACGGCUACUACAUCCAAGGAAGGCAGCAGGCGCGCAAAUUACCCAAUCCCGACACGGGGAGGUAGUGACAAUAAAUACUGAUACAGGGCUCUUUUGGGUCUUGUAAUCGGAAUGAGUACAAUUUAAAUCCCUUAACGAGGAACAAUUGGAGGGCAAGUCUGGUGCCAGCAGCCGCGGUAAUUCCAGCUUCAAUAGCGUAUAUUAAAGUUGUUGUGGUUAAAAAGCUCGUAGUUGAACCUUGGGCCUGGCUGGCCGGUCCGCCUCACCGCGUGCACUGGUCCGGCCGGGCCUUUCCCUCUGCGGAACCCCAUGCCCUUCACUGGGUGUGGCGGGGAAACAGGACUUUUACUUUGAAAAAAUUAGAGUGCUCAAGGCAGGCCUAUGCUCGAAUACAUUAGCAUGGAAUAAUAGAAUAGGACGUGUGGUUCUAUUUUGUUGGUUUCUAGGACCGCCGUAAUGAUUAAUAGGGACAGUCGGGGGCAUCAGUAUUCAAUUGUCAGAGGUGAAAUUCUUGGAUUUAUUGAAGACUAACUACUGCGAAAGCAUUUGCCAAGGAUGUUUUCAUUAAUCAGGAACGAAAGUUAGGGGAUCGAAGACGAUCAGAUACCGUCGUAGUCUUAACCAUAAACUAUGCCGACUAGGGAUCGGACGAUGUUACAUUUUUGACGCGUUCGGCACCUUACGAGAAAUCAAAGUGCUUGGGCUUCAGGGGGAG